AAUCUCCCCGUGAAGAAGCGAGGAUAACACUAUUGGACGAGAAGACCCCAUGGAGCUUUAAACCCAAUUAUAUCCCCAAUCCCUAUAACCAUUUAGUCUUUUGGGCCCCAUAUAUCUGGUUUUAGGUUGGGGCGACCACGGAGUAAAACCAAACCUCCGUGAUGUACGGAACAACCUCCUUAUCUAAAAGCCACAGCUCUCAUAAUUACCACACUAUCAUCAAAUGACCCAUUAUUGAUCAACGAACCAAGUUACCCUGGGGAUAACAGCGCAAUCCAUUUUAA
rnacentral:rRNA from 1 species